rnacentral:lncRNA from 1 species
UCUGUUUUUCUUAUAUAGACCCUGAAGCCGCCCGUGAUGUUCUGUAAGCAGGUUCCGCUUCAGAAUCAGAGGUACUUAAGAGGGAACCUGGAUGCUAGACCUGCCCUUGCUGCUGGCCUCAGUUUCUUUACCUGUAAAACAGGGAUUUUGGAACUGUUAAAUUAAAUCAAACUUAAAAGAAUUACAACUUAAAGCUGCUGGAACUUUACAUGAUCCCGAGCCUUGAGAGGAAUGUGGCUAUGCAGCCUGAGUCAUGUGGCAUGCAGAUGCAACCUCUGCCUUUUUCCGCUGUAAAUAAUUAAGAAGACCAAGUAGCAUCCAAGGUAACAGAAUUUUGGAGAAAUUCCAAAUUGCAUGGUGGUGUUGAAAGCUUUCCCACUUCAGGAGCUGCUGCAGGAAGUCUCUAUUUGGCUGCCAGAAAAGAACACCUAAAAGCUGAGUCACUCAACAGUCUCUUGUCCUUCUGCCUGCUGUUGUGGGAUGAUGUGUAGAGGAAGAUAGUCUUCCUCUACACAGCAAGAAGAUCCCUACCAGAUGCAGCCCUCUCAACCUUGGACUUCCUGACAUCCAGAACUAGUCACCUAAGCUGAAGAUUCCCUUGAGAACAAGUACUGUCCUGUGGUUUCAUGGCCUUUCUUCCAUUUGUGGUUCUUGCCAAGCGGAAUUUAAAUGACAUCUUAUCAAGAUGGAUAAACCCUAGUUUCCCAGUGCUGGAAUAUAGAAAAUGGAUGGACAAGUAAAUCCCACUCAGCACCCAUAGCCCAGGCAUGGGGACCUCAACACAUUUGAGCCGCAGAGAUCACCUUUCAUUGUGAAUAGCUCUGAGAUGAUACUUCUGGUUGAAUGUCUUUUUGUCACUUCCGGCUGGAUCUACCAUGAAAGAUUUCUGAAUCCAGGAAGAGAGAUUGACUGGGCAACAUGUUAUUCAGAAACAGGACCUUGCCCUGUCACUCAGGAUGGAGUUCAGUGGUCCAAUCAUGGCUCAUUGUAGCCUCAAACUCCCAGGCUCAAGCAAUCCUACCACGUCAGUCUUCCCAGUAGCUGACAGGGUCUCACUCUGUCGCCCAGGCUGGAGUGCAGUGGCAUGAUCUUGGCUCACUG